rnacentral:tRNA from 1 species
GGUUGUGGCUCUGUGGUAGAGCACUUGCCUAGCACGUGGGAGGCUCUGGGUUCAAUUCUCAGCACCA